rnacentral:rRNA from 1 species
GAUGAACGCUGGCGGCGUGCCUAAUACAUGCAAGUCGAGCGAACGGACGAGAAGCUUGCUUCUCUGAUGUUAGCGGCGGACGGGUGAGUAACACGUGGAUAACCUACCUAUAAGACUGGGAUAACUUCGGGAAACCGGAGCUAAUACCGGAUAAUAUUUUGAACCGCAUGGUUCAAAAGUGAAAGACGGUCUUGCUGUCACUUAUAGAUGGAUCCGCGCUGCAUUAGCUAGUUGGUAAGGUAACGGCUUACCAAGGCAACGAUGCAUAGCCGACCUGAGAGGGUGAUCGGCCACACUGGAACUGAGACACGGUCCAGACUCCUACGGGAGGCAGCAGUAGGGAAUCUUCCGCAAUGGGCGAAAGCCUGACGGAGCAACGCCGCGUGAGUGAUGAAGGUCUUCGGAUCGUAAAACUCUGUUAUUAGGGAAGAACAUAUGUGUAAGUAACUGUGCACAUCUUGACGGUACCUAAUCAGAAAGCCACGGCUAACUACGUGCCAGCAGCCGCGGUAAUACGUAGGUGGCAAGCGUUAUCCGGAAUUAUUGGGCGUAAAGCGCGCGUAGGCGGUUUUUUAAGUCUGAUGUGAAAGCCCACGGCUCAACCGUGGAGGGUCAUUGGAAACUGGAAAACUUGAGUGCAGAAGAGGAAAGUGGAAUUCCAUGUGUAGCGGUGAAAUGCGCAGAGAUAUGGAGGAACACCAGUGGCGAAGGCGACUUUCUGGUCUGUAACUGACGCUGAUGUGCGAAAGCGUGGGGAUCAAACAGGAUUAGAUACCCUGGUAGUCCACGCCGUAAACGAUGAGUGCUAAGUGUUAGGGGGUUUCCGCCCCUUAGUGCUGCAGCUAACGCAUUAAGCACUCCGCCUGGGGAGUACGACCGCAAGGUUGAAACUCAAAGGAAUUGACGGGGACCCGCACAAGCGGUGGAGCAUGUGGUUUAAUUCGAAGCAACGCGAAGAACCUUACCAAAUCUUGACAUCCUUUGACAACUCUAGAGAUAAAGCCUUCCCCUUCGGGGGACAAAGUGACAGGUGGUGCAUGGUUGUCGUCAGCUCGUGUCGUGAGAUGUUGGGUUAAGUCCCACAACGAGCGCAACCCUUAAGCUUAGUUGCCAUCAUUAAGUUGGGCACUCUAAGUUGACUGCCGGUGACAAACCGGAGGAAGGUGGGGAUGACGUCAAAUCAUCAUGCCCCUUAUGAUUUGGGCUACACACGUGCUACAAUGGACAAUACAAAGGGCAGCGAAACCGCGAGGUCAAGCAAAUCCCAUAAAGUUGUUCUCAGUUCGGAUUGUAGUCUGCAACUCGACUACAUGAAGCUGGAAUCGCUAGUAAUCGUAGAUCAGCAUGCUACGGUGAAUACGUUCCCGGGUCU